UAUAUAUAAUAAUAUAAGCAUCAAUCAGCCACUUGGCUACACAAUAGCUCCUCUUUACCCCCUCUCUCUCUCUCUCUCUCUCUCUCUCUACCCCUUCGCCAUACCAACUUUUAGAGAGCGGCAGAAAAUGAAAUUCUCCGUGAAGAGGGGUAAUGGAAGCUUGAAUCCUCUAUCCAAAGGGGAUGACGUGUGGGGGUGGGUGAAGAUGCGAUUUUUUUAGGGUUUUUUAAUUUUAUUUUUCCAAAUUUUGCAAGCGGAAAGGGUUUUGAUGCAUAUGCAGAGAGAAAGCUUCAAACUUGGAUUUGAUUAAUGUGUUAAAAUCGGUGUUCGAUUAGAUGCUAGCUAGAAUAUAAAGACGAGGUAAAGUGAAGCAAUGUGUUUCCAAUGGUUGUUUGAUGCUAUUUUUGAGUACUUUGGAUUUUGGAAACAAGUUCGAAAGGGGAAGCUCGUUUUCUCUCGACUCUUUUUAUGUGGAAGGCCAAAUCUAGUCUUGCUCCAAAACACGUAGCAUGAAGCACAAUGUUUCUAAAUGCAGGGCCGACUAAAUAUCUCUCUCUUUCUUGCUCUCUUCUACACGAAAACAACAUUUCGAAUAAUAUUGAAUUUUUUUAGACUCGUGUAGGAUUUUGAGUGGAACUUGUGUGUACUGAAAUGUCGAAUGCAGGUAUUAGCUGCUAGUUAUGAUGCAUAAAUCAUUCGCAAGUCAAUUUUUCUAUGCAGCUAAAUCAAUUAUAGAUCAAGAAACUAUAUGUGGUCCACUGGCUAAGAUGGCGUUAAGACAGCGAAAGAUUAUUUAUAUUAGGCUGAUAAUAUCCGAAUAGGAAGAAGAGAGUCAACUUGUUUAUGUUUCUUUCCUUAAAACAUAUAUAGGUUUCCUUCACCAUCUUUGAAACAUCAACUUGGUACGUUUAAAAGUAAGUAGGGAAAAUAUGCAUUCAUCGUCUAGUUUCUUUUCUUUCUCUGUAAUGUGAGUCGACGUCAACAACUAAAGGAAGCCUAUUUUUUUUCAGGUGACAAUUAUUCGACCACGUUUGCAGCUAUAGUUUUGUUUUGUAUGCAAUGAUAAAAGUGGCGUGGGCUAAAGCAAAUCAUAUAUCCCCUUUUAUGUUCCACCGUUAAAAACAGAGCAAUAUUUAACAAAAGUUCAAAUACAGAAGAGGGGUCAAGCAGCUUACACCAUGCAACAAGGGCCUCGCUCACAAUAAAGAGGUUGACAAGAAACUGGCAAAGAAUACUAAUGUUCAAGCGGUUCGAACAUUCUUGCCACGUAAGCUCAGCUCAUCAAAAAGACUCUAAGCUCGAGGGGAGUGUUACGUAACUUAAGCAGUUCCAACUUGAGGUGAGCAUAUAUAUAUUAUAGAAGUAUUGGAAUUAUAUAAAUGGAUGUUGGUGGUUGACUAAAAUCAACUAGGUAGGUUGACUAAUUUAUCGUUACGUGUUAGAAAAUUAACAGAAAUUAACAGAUCACAAAUCGGGAAAGAGAGCGAGCUAAUGGCAAGAGAUUCAAAACCAUCUACCAAAAGUAUCAUGAGCUCUAACAUAAAAUCUUCUCUCAUGACCAGAUUUUGUAGGCAUAUAUCAUUUAACUAGUUGAUUUUGGAAAAUGAACACUAGAUCUAGAGCAAGGGUGAACGGGAGCGAGAGAACAAAGAGUGACAGAGAGCUAUAGAUCGAGAUGAAGCAUAUAUUAAAAUCGACCAAAUUAAAAAGAAAAAUGAAAAGUAAUUACAAAUGAAAAAUUAAACUUAGGAAUUGAUUUAAAGUUAACUAUAAAAGAGUGACAUUCGGAUGGAAGGAAUUGAUUUAGGAAUUUUAUAUCCGUAACUAUCAUUUUAGAGCAAUUGUGGGGGAUUUCAAAUCUCUUUAUGUGGACUUGUUUUAAAUCCCCGAGUCCCAAAGUGUCUAAGGAUCCAUUUGGAUGGAAGGAUUUGAUUUGGGGAAGAGAUUUGAAAUGACUAUGAUUUGUAGUCAUUUGAAAUCAACACGAGUGACCCAAUUUAUUACUAAAAAGGAGUGUGGAUUUGAAAUACUUCAUCAGGUCUCUCAAUCCAAACAAGUGUAAGAAAUUUGUUAUUAUGGAUUUGAAACCCCUCCUCCAAAUCCUACCAUCCAAACGGAGCUUAGAGACUUUACUUCAAACAAAAAAGUUACCUUCUUACUUUAGUUCAAAGUAAUGAAUCACGGCCGUUUGACGUAGAUUUAUUAGGCCUCAAAUAUCACACGAGACCGAUGACUACAUAAAAUUCCAAACACCACAUUUCUCACAAGAAUAAAUAUCAUCAAUCGAACUCAUGUAUUUAUUAAUAUCACCAAUCAUGUAGUUAUAUAACAGUCGUGAAAGAUUACGAAAUUAUCUUCCCUAAUUGAUAAGUGAAUAUAUUUCAAAUUUCAGUAAUGAUCCCCAUUUUGACAGUAUAAAUCUCGAGUAACCAUCUUUUUCUUUUUUGUUUUCUUUUUCUUCCAAAAUCCAUUGUUGGAGGCGUG